UGAAACUGUACCACUACCAAAGCUAAAAGAUCAAGAUGGCUAUGGAUUUAAAACUCCAACUUCAUUGGAAUACAAAAUUCCAGAGAUGAAAAAAUGCCCUCCCCCGCCCAAGAAAACCAGGCCAACAAGUACAAAAAGAAAAGCUACAGUUUCACCUAAAAUACAGCGAAUUCUUCUGGUUGAUUUCGAAUCAAUUUUCACCACCACGAUUCAGGAUCAUUUGGAUAUGCAAAUCAAGAACUCGAGAAAAAUGGAUUGCGAAAGCUGAAUUUUAUAUGUAUUUUAUACUAGAGGUGAGAAUAAUUAGAAUUUUUUGUGCAAAACUAAUCUUUAACUACUUGCUAUUAUUCUUUAACUUCUCUAUCUGGAAUCUGGAUGCUUGUUUAUAACCUAAUUUUAGACAUGCAAAUUAUCAAGAAACAUGAUUUCAUUUCAUAAUUCAUAUGGGUUUUUUCUUUGCUCUUGAUUAUUUAAUUUUGUUUUCGACCCCAAGAAAACAUUUUUCUACGUUGAAAUUGUGAGUGCUAGUGGACUUUCUUUCGUUUACAGCAGACUAUUAUAGUUUACAUUUUCCUUCGCUCAAAGAGUUACUAUUAUUUAGUAUAUAGCAGAUUUUUUAAUUUAUUAUUUUAUAUAUCAAUCAAUAAAGCGAAACGAGUUUCAUUAAAUGGAGCUCAAAUAUACAGAUUACAUUACCAUGCAAAUAAAUGGACAAGAGAAAUGAAGGAAUGAAGGUCAUAGUCAUUAUAGUUGUAUUUGAAUCUUAUAUAGUUGUGAUUGACUAACUAUCAAUAUGAGCUUUUGUUUACUUUCUAAAAUUCAACCAUCUUAUAUUCGAAACACAUUAGCCCGACUAAUAAGAAUUUGCACCAAAGUAGAUCCAUUAAGUGGGUAAAGCGCUUCUCAAGAGGUUCUCCAGUUCUCCAAGACUUGAAUUUAGAAAUCUGCUUCAGGGGAGAGGAAUUCCAACCUUAUCCAAAUAAAAAUUAGAAUAUAAGGAUCCCAGGGUUAAUUUCACCGAUGGUCAACUAUGUUUCAAUUUCACUAAAAUCACUCAACUAUUUUUUGUCACUUAAAAGUAAUUAAACUUUCACGUUGUCACUUAAAAGUCAUUUUGGCUCAAACCCCCACCAUAAAUAUGACAUGGCAUAAAAUUUAAUGAGAAAAAUCCAAAAAUAAAUGUCACAUAAGCUUAAAUGGAUCAUACUCACUUUAGAUCCAUUUCUUCCUUAAUGUGAUUUGACUCAUAGCCCAAAUACUUUCAAUUAAAAAAAAAGAAUAUUGAAUUCCACAUUAGUUUAAAAUGAUUAGCCUAUAUUACAAAAUUCUUGCCUUUUCUGUUACAUAAUGCCUAUUUAUAUUAUUCUAUACCAAAAAAAUUAUUAUCUUGUUUGUAUGUCUCAUCCGAGUCGUUUUAUAACUCUACUGAAGUUAAAAUACUACUGUAUCCAACUCACAUAAUAUAUUUAUAAUUUUCAAGCGAAAUUAAAAUAGAAUUAUAUUCAUCUUGCAUAACAUAUUAAUGUAUCAUAAGCAUACAAGAAUAAUAAUAAGGCUAAUAAGAGUCUAUUUUCACAAUGAACAUGCAAUUACAGAUAAUCUAUUGCAAUUGUUUAGACAAAAGAAAUAUUGUAUUUGUGCGAUAAAAACCCCACAAAAAAUCACAAGACCUAAUUUUAUUAGGGGUGUGUGUGUUUUUCCCCCUAUUGAAACCCAUUUGGAUUAUGGGUCAAAUCACAUUAAGGGAAAAAUGAAUCUAAAGUGGGUAUGAUUCAUUUAAGCUUAUGUGGCAUUUAUUUUUAGAUUUUUCUCAUUAAAUUUUAUGCCAUGUCAUAUUUAUAGUAGGAGUUUGAACCAAAAUGAAUUUUAAGUGACAAUGUGAAAGUUUAAUUAAGUGACAAAAAAAUAAUUAAAUGACUUUAGUAAAAUUGAAACAUAAUCGAAUGACCAUCAACGAAAUUAACUCAAAGAUCCCAACCAUCCCACUACGUCUUUGGUGAUAGGCGGGUAACAUGAAAUUUUUUAAGCAUAAAAUCCACCAAACAUGGAAAUGGUUGACAACAUCGAUAUUUCAUAAAAGAAGGUACAACAGCAUAUACACAAAGGAAAGAAAAUGAGCCUCAAGAAAUGAGGCAACAAGUACAUACACAUUUAAUAACUUUACACAUGGGGCAUAAGUAGAUAAUUUGUGGCAUCUCUAACACAUAAAUCAUGAACCAGAAAAGGAAAGAAAAUCCUUGAGGAAAAAUACAAGAGAAAGCAGAAGAUAAAAAGACAUGGCAAAUAACAGAAACAGAGUUUUUAAGAUGCAAAUCAAAUCAAUAACUAGUAACAAAAACAGAAACCAAGAAUGUAAAGGAUAUGUGAACUUAAAGUAAAUUCACAAUAGCUUGAGGCACAUACUGGAAAAAGAGGUAUUACCCAAAUAAGUAGAAAGAUGAUCACCCACUAAAGAUCAUCAGCAUGUACCUCCUUGCACUAUCUGUCACACCUCUUUUUUUACACACCCGAAGGUAGUAUAAGGGAGUUUUUCCACUUUAAGUGACAUUAUUCGGAAUGAGAUUAAUUAUUCAUUUUUAUUCAGAGUCGCCACUUGGGAUAGUUUAUUUGGUGUCCCAAGUCACCGGUUUAUUUUAAAAUCCCAAAUCAAGGAAAUUCGCCUUUCCUUUUGAAUUCUGCGAACCAGAAAUUCUAAGUAAGGAAUUCUGUUAACCCGAGGGAAGGUGAUAGGCACCCUCGGAUUCCGUGGUUCUAGCACGGUCACUUAAACUAUUACAAUUGCCUAUUAUUUGAUUUUAAUACAUGUUUUAGCCUAUGGUAUAAUUUUAAAUCAUCAAUCACUUUAAUUAAUUUUAAAGAAGAUUGAACGCCGUCUAAAACAUGUCUUUGGACCGCGCCACAUGAAAUGCACCCGCAAUGCGAAACACAUUUUAUUCAACGUUAUUAAGAUUUGGAUUUGGGUCACAUGAAAUGCGCACCCGAAUUUAAGAAGGUAAUAUUAUUAAAAUAACGCGCCUAAAGCAACAACGCGUUGUUAACUUUGCGAGGGCCAUGGAAAUUUGCUAAAUGGCACGCCUAGGAUUCUAAGGAUUUUAAAAAUUAAUUAAAUGAGGGCCAUGCAUUUUGAGAUUUUAUUUGGCGCGGCUCACCUCGAUCCAAUUUUAAAGGAAUUCAAACUAAAGCUUUUGAGGGCCAUAAAUAGUACAUUUAGCUAAUAUGGCACACUUCAAACUAAUUUUAAGAGGCUAAUUAAGUAAUUAAUGAGGAUUGAAACAUUCUAAUUAUUUUAGCUAAAGGUUUGACCUUACUUAUUAACCAAUAGGUAUCGUACUAGAGACCAAUUAUCUAAAGGAAAUUGUGAAGCUGCUUCUGAUGAAACAAGAGACAGGCUCAAGCAGCAGAAAGGGUAAAUGAUCUAUUAACAAAUGCCCUCAGGCUUGGGCCCAAAUUUGUGAAACAAUGAACACCUCAUGGGGCGUGUAAUUGAAUCUGAAUUCGAGCGUUCUUUAGCUGGGCCAACGUUAGGCCCAGUUCUCAUGAUCCAAAUAAUUUAUACUCAAAUCAAAUAAUACAAGUCAACUGAUGUUAACAUGGAACAUGAAGUCAGAUUAACAAACUAAAAAUCUGAUAUUAACAUUUAACACAGAUUAACUAAGCUAAAUUUCUAAUUUUAUCUUUCAUGCAUCCUCGAGUCAGAUCUGCUUCUAGAACAAUCCAGUAACCAAACGAACGAGCUGCUGGGCUAAAGAAACGAGCCCAAAUAGCAACAACAGGCCAUCUUCCCUUGUAAAUGACUUCAGAAUCCAGGGCUCGAUGAUCCCUAACACUGUAACAAACAAGAUUGAGGAUUCUAGACUCAACAUCGAGUCUAUACUAAAGCAAGACGACCCCUUGCACUCAUACACAAACUGUUAAAUCUCACCACUACCCAAUAACUAAUACACCAGAAAAACUUUGAAUACUACUGAGAAUACAUGCUUGACUCCAAACUGACAAAUAUUCAUGCUUAAACUAAACUUACAAACACAACAUGAAACUUUAAACUAACUAACUCUUUUUCAAUACCAAAAAGUAACAAAAUCUAGAGAAUUAAUUAUCACCCAAAACUCUUAAAGAGCACACAUUCAUUUGUAUAGCAUAUAGGGCAGGGGAAAAUUGAAAAUAACGCGUAUAACUUUGGAUUUAAUACAGAAAGGCUACAAUAAUAGAAGAAGCAAAGAAGCAC
rnacentral:lncRNA from 1 species